GUAGUCAUAUGCUUGUCUCAAAGAUUAAGCCAUGCAUGUGUAAGUACAAGCUUUCAGAACGGCGAAACCGCGAAUGGCUCAUUAGAUCAGUUAAUAUUUCUUAGAUCGUACAAAGUUACUUGGAUAACUGUGGUAAUUCUAGAGCUAAUACAUGCUGUGAAGCUCCGACCGUAGCUGGGAAGAGCGCUUUUAUUAGAUCAAAACCAACGCGGCGCCUUCGCGGCGUCGUCUCUCGCUGGUGACUCUGGAUAACUUUGGGCUGAUCGCACGGCCUCGAGCCGGCGACGUAUCUUUCAAAUGUCUGCCCUAUCAAGUCUCGAUGGUAGGAUAGAGGCCUACCAUGGUGAUGACGGGUAACGGGGAAUAAGGAUUCGAUUCCGGAGAGAGGGCCUGAGAAACGGCCCUCAGGUCUAAGGACACGCAGCAGGCGCGCAAAUUAUCCCCUGGCAACACUUUGCCGAGAUAGUGACAAUAAAUAACAAUGCAGGGCUCUUACGGGUCUUGCAAUUGGAAUGAGUACAAUUUAAAUCCCUUAACGAGGAUCAAUUGGAGGGCAAGUCUGGUGCCAGCAGCCGCGGUAAUUCCAGCUCCAAUAGCGUAUAUUAAAAUUGUUGCCGUUAAAAAGCUCGUAGUCGAACUUCGGGCUCUGUCAGCCGGUCCGCCUUCUUGGUGUGUACUUGUUUGACGGAGCCUUACCUCCUGGUGAACGGCGAUGUCCUUUACUGGGUGUCGUCGCAAACCAGGACUUUUACUUUGAAAAAAUUAGAGUGUUCAAAGCAGGCCUUUGCCCGAAUACAUUAGCAUGGAAUAAUAAAAUAGGACGCGCGUUCCCAUUUUGUUGGUUUCUGAGAUCGCCGUAAUGAUUAAUAGGGAUAGUUGGGGGCAUUUGUAUUCCGUCGUCAGAGGUGAAAUUCUUGGAUUGCCGGAAGACAAACUACUGCGAAAGCAUUUGCCAAGGAUGUUUUCAUUGAUCAAGAACGAAGGAAGGGGGAUCGAAAACGAUUAGAUACCGUUGUAGUCUCUUCUGUAAACUAUGCCAAUUGGGGAUCGGUACAGGAUUUUUAAUGACUGUAUCGGCACCCGAAGAGAAAUCCUUAAAUGAGGUUCGGGGGGGAGUAUGGUCGCAAGGCUGAAACUUAAAGGAAUUGACGGAAGA
rnacentral:rRNA from 1 species